UUCGCGGUGGGCGACGUGCACGGCUGUUUCAGCCGGCUGCGCGACAGCCUGGCGCGGAUGGGGUUCGACGCCAGCCGCGACC
rnacentral:tRNA from 1 species